CUGCAGCCAUUUAAGCCUGCCAGUUUCCUUUCCCCAUGGGGUCCAGUGAGCAGUGGCUGCGAACAGCAGCCCUCUUGGUUGUGUAUGUAACCUGCUGCUUGUACAAGUUGCUCUAAGGGACCUUGCAGAGUCUU
ensembl:snoRNA SNORA70 Small nucleolar RNA SNORA70